UUUGUCUGCUGACCAACCUUGUUGAUGUUGCUGGAUAACACCUUGUGAAUUUAGACUGCUUUUGGGGUUUUGAAGAUUGAAGCUACAAGUCAAGAUGCAAGUUUAGAAGAUGCACAAGCUAUUAUUAUUUUGCUAAAAAUGUU